CAGGCGGAGAAGGGGACCCGUACGUGGGUCAGCUUGCGAGAGGGCCCCGAAAGUAGGUGUGGGCAUAAAAACCGAGAAACCGAAACCGAUCACCGAAGAACCAGAAACCGAAGAACCGUUUAAAAUUUCGGUCAGCAAACUCAAAGAACCGAAGUUUGUUCGGUUAAUUCGGUCUCUUGCCUCGGUUAACCGAAAAAACCCGAAGAACCGAAGUUCAUUGCUGCAUCUUUAAAAUUUAAUGUUUUCAUUGCAUGUUAGAUGAUAUUUACUCAUUACGUGUGUCUGUGUCACAUAAGAUUAUGCGUUUAUUUUUGCGUGUAACUUAAAUCUAUUUUUUGUUGUAAGUAGAAGAUUGAACUAAAUUUGUUUUCAUUUUUUUUUGCCGUAAACACAAUGUUCUGUUAGUUCGGUUCCGAACCGAAAACCGAACCGAAUUUUCGGUGAACGAACUUUCGGUUCUCAAAAUUUUUAAGAUAACUUCGGUCCUCAUAUUUGAAGAACCGAAUUUCAUGAAAACCCGAAGAACCGAACCAAAAUUUCAGUUAUAACCGAACGCCCACCUGACCCGAAAGAAACGCUUGCUCGGAGGAUUUAAAUGCAGCGGAUGGAUUUUGUCGAUCUAUUUUGAUUUCAUUGGACUCUAGAAUCCGUGUGCGUAGGAAUGGGAAUUGCCUCGCCUAGGAUUUUACUACUUUAUGAUUUUUGAUACAGUCUAAUCGCAUUUAACUCUGCCAGGCCCACGAAUUAAACAUUUGAUAGGCUCAUAAAGUCAGCUUGGUCUAACCGUAACCGUAGGAUCAUUUUGAUUGUGCUGGAUGCUGAUGAGGUGUGG
rnacentral:lncRNA from 1 species